CCCACCUAGGCGACGAUCCCUAGCUGGUCUGAGAGGAUGACCAGCCACACUGGAACUGAGACACGGUCCAGACUCCUACGGGAGGCAGCAGUGGGGAAUAUUGCACAAUGGGCGCAAGCCUGAUGCAGCCAUGCCGCGUGUGUGAAGAAGGCCUUCGGGUUGUAAAGCACUUUCAGCGGGGAGGAAGGCAGUAAGGGUUAAUAACCUUGCUGAUUGACGUUACCCGCAGAAGAAGCACCGGCUAACUCCGUGCCAGCAGCCGCGGUAAUACGGAGGGUGCAAGCGUUAAUCGGAAUGACUGGGCGUAAAGCGCACGCAGGCGGUCUGUUAA
rnacentral:rRNA from 1 species